rnacentral:rRNA from 1 species
UACAGAGGUCCCAAGCGUUGUUCGGAUUCACUGGGCGUAAAGGGCGCGUAGGUGGUUAGGUAAGUCUGAUGUGAAAUCUCUGGGCUCAACCCAGAAACUGCAUUGGAUACUAUCUAGCUAGAGGAGUGGAGGGGGGACUGGAAUACUUGGUGUAGCAGUGAAAUGCGUAGAUAUCAAGUGGAACACCAGUGGCGAAGGCGAGUCCCUGGACACUUCCUGACACUGAGGGACGAAAGCUAGGGGAGCGAAUGGG